rnacentral:rRNA from 1 species
GAUGAACGCUGGCGGCGUGCCUAAUACAUGCAAGUCGAGCGAGCGGCGGACGGGUGAGUAACACGUGGAAACCUCCCUCUAAGACUGGGAUCACUUCGGGAAACCGGAGCUAAUACCGGAUACUUAUAGAUGGAUCCGCGCUGCAUUAGCUAGUUGGUGGGGUAAAGGCCUACCAAGGCGACGAUCCGUCACUGGUCUGAGAGGAGGAUCAGUAACACUGGAACUGAGACACGGUCCAGACUCCGAAGUGAGGCAGCAGGGUGGAAUAUGGGACAAGGGGCGGAAGCCUAAUCCAGCCAUGCCGCGUGUGUGAAGAAGGUCUUCGGAUUGUAAAGCACGUUAAGUUGGGAGGCGGUACCCGCAGAAGAAGCACCGGCUAACUCCGUGCCAGCAGCCGCGGUAAUUC